GAUGAACGCUGGCGGCGUGCCUAAUACAUGCAAGUCGAGCGAACAGACGAGGAGCUUGCUCCUCUGACGUUAGCGGCGGACGGGUGAGUAACACGUGGAUAACCUACCUAUAAGACUGGGAUAACUUCGGGAAACCGGAGCUAAUACCGGAUAACAUGUUGAACCGCAUGGUUCAACAGUGAAAGACGGUUUUGCUGUCACUUAUAGAUGGAUCCGCGCCGCAUUAGCUAGUUGGUAAGGUAACGGCUUACCAAGGCAACGAUGCGUAGCCGACCUGAGAGGGUGAUCGGCCACACUGGAGCUGAGACACGGUCCAGACUCCGACGGGAGGCAGCAGUAGGGAAUCUUCCGCAAUGGGCGAAAGCCUGACGGAGCAACGCCGCGUGAGUGAAGAAGGUCUUCGGAUCGUAAAACGCUGUUAUUAGGGAAGAACAAAUGUGUAAGUAACUAUGCACGUCUUGACGGUACCUAAUCAGAAAGCCACGGCUAACUACGU
rnacentral:rRNA from 1 species